rnacentral:rRNA from 1 species
AUUGAACGCUAGCGGGAUGCUUUACACAUGCAAGUCGAACGAGUGGCGGACGGGUGAGUAAUAUAUCGGAACGUGCCCAGUAGCGGGGGCUAACUACUCGAAAGAGUGGCUAAUACCGCAUACUGUUGGAGCGGGCGUUAUGGGUUUAGCUAGUUGGUGGGGUAAAGGCUCACCAAGACAACGAUGCGUAGCUGGUUUGAGAGGACGACCAGCCACACUGGGACUGAGACACGGCCCAGACUCCUACGGGAGGCAGCCGUGGGGAAUUUUGGACAAUGGGGGAAACCCUGAUCCAGCCAUCCCGCGUGUAUGAGAAGGCCUUCGGGUUGUAAAGUACUUUUGGCAGAGAAGCGGUAUCUGCAGAAUAAGCACCGGCUAACUACGUGCCAGCAGCCGCGGUAAUAC